CGCGGGAUGGUAGCAAUGGUAGCUCGUCAGCCUCAUGAGCUGAAGGUUGGAGGUUCGAAUCCUCCUCUCGCCA
rnacentral:tRNA from 1 species